UACGUAGAGGGCUAGCGUUAUCCGGAAUUACUGGGCGUAAAGGGUGCGUAGGUGGUUUCUUAAGUCAGAGGUGAAAGGCUACGGCUCAACCGUAGUAAGCCUUUGAAACUGGGAAACUUGAGUGCAGGAGAGGAGAGUGGAAUUCCUAGUGUAGCGGUGAAAUGCGUAGAUAUUAGGAGGGACACCAGUUGCGAAGGCGGCUCUCUGGACUGUAACUGACACUGAGGCACGAAAGCGUGGGGAGCAAACAGGAUUAGAUACCCUGGUAGUCCCUGA
rnacentral:rRNA from 1 species